UCGGGAAUUUUGGGCAAUGGGGGAAAGCCUGACCCAGCAACGCCGCGUGAAGGAUGAAGUAUUUCGGUAUGUAAACUUCGAAAGAAUAGGAAGAAUAAAUGACGGUACUAUUUAUAAGGUCCGGCUAACUACGUGCCAGCAGCCGCGGUAAUACGUAGGGACCAAGCGUUGUUCGGAUUUACUGGGCGUAAAGGGCGCGUAGGCGGCAUGACAAGUCACUUGUGAAAUCUCUGGGCUUAACCCAGAACGGCCAAGUGAUACUGUCGCGCUAGAGUGCAGAAGGGGCAAUCGGAAUUCUUGGUGUAGCGGUGAAAUGCGUAGAUAUUGGGAAGAACACCGGUGGCGUAGGCGACUAGCUGGGCUGUAACUGACGCUGAGGAACGAAAGCCAGGGGAGCGAAUGGAAUUAGAUACCCCUGUAGUCCCUGAGCGGGCUGGCAAGGCGCAU
rnacentral:rRNA from 1 species